AACCAUUCUCACCUGCGGCUAGACCUGCGGAAGGAUCAUUACAGAGUUGCAAAACUCCCUAAACCAUUGUGAACGUUACCUAAACCGUUGCUUCGGCGGGCGGCCCGGGUCCUUCCCGGCGCCCCUCGGCCCUCGCGGGCGCCCGCCGGAGGUAAACCAAACUAUUGCAUUGUAUGGCCUCUCUGAGUCUUCUGUACUGAAUAAGUCAAAACUUUUAGCAACGGAUCUCAGAUCGGAAGA
rnacentral:misc_RNA from 1 species